CNACCUGCCGAUGACUCGGGGAUAGCCUUUCGAAAGAAAGAUUAAUACCCGAUGGCAUAGUUCUUCNNCAUGGUGGAACUAUUAAAGAAUUUCGGUCAUCGAUGGGGAUGCGUUCCAUUAGGUUGUUGGCGGGGUAACGGCCCACCAAGCCUUCGAUGGAUAGGGGUUCUGAGAGGAAGGUCCCCCACAUUGGAACUGAGACACGGUCCAAACUCCUACGGGAGGCAGCAGUGAGGAAUAUUGGUCAAUGGACGAGAGUCUGAACCAGCCAAGUAGCGUGAAGGAUGACUGCCCUAUGGGUUGUAACCUUCUUUUAUACGGGAAUAAAGUGAGGCACGUGUGCCUUUUUGUAUGUACCGUAUGAAUAAGGAUCGGCUAACUCCGUGCCAGCAGCCGCGGUAAUACGGAGGAUCCGAGCGUUAUCCGGAUUUAUUGGGUUUAAAGGGAGCGUAGGCGGACGCUUAAGUCAGUUGUGAAAGUUUGCGGCUCAACCGUAAAAUUGCAGUUGAUACUGGGUGUCUUGAGUACAGUAGAGGCAGGCGGAAUUCGUGGUGUAGCGGUGAAAUGCUUAGAUAUCACGAAGAACUCCGAUUG
rnacentral:rRNA from 1 species